rnacentral:rRNA from 1 species
UACGAAGGGGGCUAGCGUUGUUCGGAAUUACUGGGCAUAAAGAGCACGUAGGUGGUUCGUUAAGUCACGUGUGAAAUCCCCCGGCUCAACCGGGGAAUUGCGCGUGAUACUGGCGAACUCGAGGCGGGUAGGGGUGAGCGGAACUCCAGGUGGAGCGGUGAAAUGCGUAGAUAUCUGGAGGAACACCGGUGGCGAAAGCGGCUCACUGGACCCGAUCUGACACUGAGGUGCGAAAGCUAGGGUAGCAAACGGG